CGGCAACAGCUCAAAUUUGAAACCUGGCGCUCGCGUCCGGAUUGUAAUUUGCAGAGGAUGCUUCUGGGCAGCGGCCGUUCUAAGUUCCUUGGAACAGGACGUCAUAGAGGGUGAGAAUCCCGUAUGUGACCGGCGCGCACCCUCCACGUAGCUCCUUCGACGAGUCGAGUUGUUUGGGAAUGCAGCUCUAAAUGGGUGGUAAAUUCCAUCUAAAGCUAAAUAUUGGCCCGAGACCGAUAGCGCACAAGUAGAGUGAUCGAAAGAUGAAAAGCACUUUGGAAAGAGAGUUAAAAAGCACGUGAAAUUGUUGAAAGGGAAGCGCUUCCCACCAGACUCCGCGGCGGUGUUCCGCCGGCCUUCUGGCCGGUCUACUCGCCGCCGUGGGGCCAGCAUCGUCUGGGGCCGUCGGAUAAGACCGUAGGAAUGUAGCUCAUUGAGUGUUAUAGCCUGCGGUGAUGCGACGCGCCCCGGGCGAGGUCCGCGCUUCGGCAAGGAUGCUGGCGUAAUGGUGGGCAGCGGCCCGUCUUGAAACACGGACCAAGGAGUCUAACAUCUAUGCGAGUGUUCGGGUGUCAAACCCCUACGCGUAAUGAAAGUGAACGGAGGUGGGAGCUUCGGCGCACCAUCGACCGAUCCUGAUGUCCUCGGAUGGAUUUGAGUAAGAGCAUAGCUGUUGGGACCCGAAAGAUGGUGAACUAUGCCUGAAUAGGGUGAAGCCAGAGGAAACUCUGG
rnacentral:rRNA from 1 species